UUUUUUUUUUUUUUUAACUGAUAUAACAGAAAAUAUAUGAACCUAUUAGUUUAUUUGUAUUUAUUGCUAUUGUGGGGGAGGGGUCUUCGUGCCAUGCUGCAACUGUGUAGGUCAGAGAGCAACUUUGUGGCAUCGGUUGUCUCCUUUAACUUCACAUGCUAUGACAGGGAUCGAACUCAAGUUGUUAGGGUUACAGCAUCAGGCUGCAGGCACCUUCAACCACCAAGCCAUCUCACUGGCCCUGGUUUUGUUUUCUGAGCUACUUUUCUCACAGGUUUUAGCUAAUCAGGAGAAACGAUUGAGCUGAAUAUUCUAAGACCAGGAAAAUAAACACGACUAGCUGGAUGUGUUUUAAUCCUCAACCCUUAGUUAACCUGCUUUAUUUUAAUUUUUCUGUGACAGUAGAGACAGAGUCCAGGCAAUCACUUUACUACUUAAGUCAGUGGUUCUCAACCUCCCUAAUGUUGCAGUCCUUUAAGACAGUACCUCAUGUUGCGGUGACCCCAGCCAUAAAAUUAUUUUUGUUGCUACUUCAUAGCUGUAAUUUUGUUACUGUUAUAAAUCGAAUGUAAAUAUCUGUGUUUUCCAAUGAUCUUAGGUGACCUCUGUGAAAGAGUCGUUUGGUGCGCACACCCCCCACACCCCUGCCAACUACCCAUAGGUUGAACACUGCUGACUUAAAUCCUCAGCCAUAGUCUCCUAUGUUUGAAACAGGGUCUCUGAUAGUACAAGCUGGCUGUAAACUUGCUGUCUAGUUCAAGCUGACUAUAAACUCCUGACAGAAAAGUUCAAGUAUCAGUAGCUGUUCAGUCCACAAGGCUAGAUGUCUCAGUUGGUCCUCAGUAUACAAAGGGAUGUGUAUACACAGUGAAGGGAUGACCUUGCUAGCAAGGGGAGAGCAAGCAGGCAAAGAGCCAAAGCUUCUUCCUUGGCUAUUCUUAGCUGUCAGCCUGACUACAUCUGGAAGGAACUACAAUCCAAAAAUGGUGGAUCCCUGUGAGGGAUCUCACCUAUAGUUUCUGCUGGCUCUUCACCAGCUGUGGCGAGGCUCCUCUCCUCACAGGUUGCUGAAUCGAAUUCAAUCCACAGAUUGGAAGACUUGCUUGCUGAUUCUUUUUUUUUUUUUCUUUUCUUUUUUUUUGGAGCUGGGAACCAAACCCAGAGCCUUGUGCUUACUAGGCAAGUGCUCUACCACUGAGCUAAAUCCCCAACCCCUUGCUUGCUGAUUCUUAUUUCUGCUUUUUAGAAAUAGUGUCAUUCUUGCACUGUCUGACUUGGAACUCUAUGUGCAGAUUGGCUUGGUUUGAACAUUUAGCACAUCUCCUGUCUUUGCCUCCAAAGGACUAGAACUCGUGCCAUGUGCCACACCUGACUAUUAAAGAUGUGAAUGAAUGGCUUUGUAAGAGCUUUUCCAGUUUUGGAUCUGUGAUUCCCACUCAUCCAAUGGACAUGAUCACCUACCAUGAACUCUUACAAACAUAAAAAAAUCAGUAAAGUCCACAGAAAUGAUAAAGCCCAGCAAU
rnacentral:tRNA from 1 species